AAGCAAUUCAUUAAAAUAUCGAAUUUUAGGUACUUGACAUAAUAUAAAUUAUUUAGGUAGGUACCUACGUUAUUAAUAUUUGUGAUGAUUUUAACGAGACAAGCAUAUGUCUGAAUAAAUUUGAUGUAAACUCAAAUCUGAUAUGUUAAUAAUUAAUUAGGUACCUAUGACUGAAACAUUUCAAAAUUAUGUAUUUCAUAACUUAAUAUUUAUAAGUAUAUCUGCUAUAUGUAUUUAAUUAUAUAGAAAAUUAAAUUUAACAAUUACUCUAAGCACUUGAACUUCAGACUUAGGAUUACUCUCGGGAUUACUUUUAAUGAUGAUUACAAAGAGACAAGCAUAUGUCUGAAACAUAAUGCUGCAAAUAUUAAUCUGAUACCUAUUUAAACAUAUACGUAGAUAUAGGUAAUAAAUUAUAUGAUUAUUGAAUUAAAAGAGACAAGCAUAUACCUGAAACAUAGUGCUGAAAACAUUAAACUGAUUUUGAACAUCAACUGGAUAUAGGUAAUAUUUUUAAUGAUGAUUACAACGAGACAAGCAUAUGUCUGAAACAUCAUGCUGCAAAUAUUAAUCUGAUAGGUUUUAGAAUAAUUUUUAUGAUGAUUGAAUUAAAAGAGACAAGCAUAUACCUGAAAUAUAGUGCUGAAAACAUUAAUCUGAUAUUUGAACAUUUAGGUACUUAGAUAGGUAUUUAUAAUAAUUUAUAUGAUGAUUAAAUUCAAAGAGACAAGCAUAUACCUGAAACAUAAUGCUGAAAACAUUAAUCUGAUAUUAGAAAAUUUACUUGAAUUUAAUAAUUUAUCACAUUGACUGUGUACCAACACCGAUUGUGACGUCCUUAGGGUUGUUCAGCAACAUGCUUGAUGUCAACUGAAAGUUAUUUGAUCAUUGUUUACUAUUUAGCAUAGUUGAUAAAUGGAUAUUUUAGAAUAGUCCAUUGAAAAAUAUAAUAGUAUGACCAUAUUUCUAUUUAUUAGAACUUAUGAUAGGUACAUAGGUACGCAAUUGGAAUGAAAAAGCCUCAGAAAAACCACAAACCCAAAUCCUCAUUUGUUGGUACAUUUAAAGAAACUUACUACAUUCUAUUACGUACCAAAGUAUAGUUAAAUCUCCACUACACAAUAAAUGAUCAGCCCUUCCCCUCAAAGGAAAAAUCCUGGGUAUGCAAUUGUCAGAGCUAUUGUAGAUACCUAAUAUAUUAUGUGAAAUAAUUGUAAUUAAAUUAUAUAGUAUAUCGAUGGUUAGAAGGUAAAAAGGGCGUAAGCACCACUUUUUUCAAAAUCGAUGUUUUUAUAUAUUGUUGUAAACGGCAUUAUUAGACUUCGAUUAAUUGAACCUAAACAUCGCUAUCAUUUGUAUAUAUCCAAGAAUCAAUGUUUUAAUAUGUGGUCGUAAACACCAUAGAAUUGGUGGGAAUGAAAAAACUGGGUGUAAACGCCAAAUAAAAGACGUAAACGCCAUUCAAGGUAAUUUGAUGGUUACAUUUUUGACGCUUACAUCAAUUUAACAUUUUUGUUAGUGGUUUUGUCAGCACUGUAAAAAGCAUAAAGCAGCAUGAUAAUACAAUGAACGUUCGGUUCGUUUUAAAACACUAAAACUGAUAGGUAUUAGGUACCAGAAACCGUCUACCAUCUCAAACACGAAAUAGAAAUUGAUUUAAAUAUUAAUUUGUAAGUAGACAUUAUUUAAUUGUUUGAAUGGUUAAACACGUUCUACUUUAAUAAAUAUUUGUCUUCAUUGAAUUUAAUCAAUAAUAUUAAACUAUGGAAGCCAUCAUAGUCAAUAGAACAUCUUUGGGGUGUAAGAGCCAGGAUCAG